rnacentral:rRNA from 1 species
AGGUUUGAUUAUGGCUCAGGAUGAACGCUAGCGGCGGGCCUAAUACAUGCAAGUCGUACGAGGUGAAGAGCCAUAGUGGCGGACGGGUGCGUAACGCGUACGUAACCUACCCUUAGGAGGGGAUAGCAUUUCGAAAGGAGUGGUAAUCCCGCAUGAGGCCUAUUUACUGCAUGGUAGAUGGUGAAAGCAGUGAUGCGCCUAAGGAUGGGCGUGCGUCCGAUUAGCUAGUUGGUAGGGUAAGGCCUACCAAGGCGACGAUCGGUAGCUGGUCUGAGAGGAUGAUCAGCCACACUGGCAUGAGACACGGGCCAGACUCCUACGGGAGGCAGCAGUAGGGAAUAUUGGGCAAUGGGCGCAGCCUGACCCAGCCACGCCGCGUGGAGGAAGGAGGUCCAAGGGAUUGUAAACUUCUUUUUCUGGGACUAAGGGGCUAUUGGAUAGUUCUUGAAGGUACCGGAGGAAUAAGCACCGGCAACUACGUGCCAGCAGCCGCGGUAAUACGUAGGGUGCAAGCGUUGUCCGGAUUUACUGGGUUAAAGGGUGCGUAGGCGGUUAAGUAAGUCGGCGAUGAAAUGCUAAUGCUUAACGUUAGGCUGUUGACGAUACUGCUUAGCUAGAGUGCUAUCGAGGUAGCUGGAAUGAGCGGUGUAGGGUGAAAUACGUAGAGAUCGCUCAGAACACCGAUUGCGGAGGCAGGUUACUAGGUAGCGCUGACGCUGAGGCACGAAAGCGUGGGGAGCGAACAGGAUUAGAUACCCUGGUAGUCCACCCCUAAACGAUGGAUACUGGAUAUUUGGCUGUUAGGGCUGAGUGUCUAAGCGAAAGCGAAAGUAUCCCACCUGGGGAGUACGCUCGCAAGGGUGAAACU